AGUGAACGCUGGCGGUAGGCCUAACACAUGCAAGUCGAACGGCAGCACAGUAAGAGCUUGCUCUUACGGGUGGCGAGUGGCGGACGGGUGAGGAAUACAUCGGAAUCUACUUUUUCGUGGGGGAUAACGUAGGGAAACUUACGCUAAUACCGCAUACUACCUACGGGUGAAAGCAGGGGAUCUUCGCACCUUGCGCGAUUGAAUUAGCCGAUGUCGGAUUAGCUAGUUGGCGGGGUAAAGGCCCACCAAGGCGACGAUCCGUAGCUGGUCUGAGAGGAUGAUCAGCCACACUGGAACUGAGACACGGUCCAGACUCCUACGGGAGGCAGCAGUGGGGAAUAUUGGACAAUGGGCGAAAGCCUGAUCCAGCCAUACCGCGUGGGUGAAGAAGGCCUUCGGGUUGUAAAGCCCUUUUGUUGGGAAAGAAAAGCAGCAGGUUAAUACCCCGAUGUUCUGACGGUACCUAAAGAAUAAGCACCGGCUAACUUCGUG
rnacentral:rRNA from 1 species